CAUUAGAUGACUGAAAGAAAGUAAUGGUCUCUUAAACCAAUUUAUAGUAAUUUACGCCUACUUCUAAUG
rnacentral:tRNA from 1 species